GCCCCGGUAGCUCAGCUGGAUAGAGCAACAGCCUUCUAAGCUGUAGGUCACAGGUUCGAAUCCUGUCCGGGGUA
rnacentral:tRNA from 1 species